rnacentral:lncRNA from 1 species
GUUGAGCGAAGCCGCGGGGCCCAACCGCAGUCGCGGGGUCUGGGAGCCCUCUAUUGGAGAUUCUGCCUCCCCUGGGACAGAUGGCUUCUUGAGCACACUCCCACGAUGGGUGGCUGCUCUGGGUAUUCAUCCAUGGGGUUCUUCCGCGGUGAAGCCAGCUUGUCGUGCUGUCCCCCUUGUCAUUGAAGCCAUCAUGGUUCUGGUCAAUCAUGUUGAAAGCCUCCUUAAACUCCUGGAUGUGGAACUGGUCGAACAUCACGAAGACAUUGGAUGUGGCCCCUUGUGCUGUGGUCGCUUCUUGGUGGUCUUGGCUUUGGUCCACUUGCUGAACAUUUUGGCUUCAGGAAGCAGUACCUUGAAGAGAAAUUGGAGAGGGAGUCAAUUCCUAGGAUAGCAGAGAGAUGGACAACAGACAGAAUAGAUGGAGUUUCACAAUGGUG